CACAAAUUGCCGUGGACUUGUCCUUGUUGGGAUAUACCUUGGAUAGUUGAAGAAUUAUCUGAAGUUGUUUAUCUAACGACCAAAACAGUUGUUUAGCUAUGUGAAUUGUUUUUUUUUCACCUGAUAAUCCAUAAUUAUGAGUUUGCCUAGCAAGUAUUGCACAUUUUCUCUUGAACAUUCUCAAAUUUGAUAAUCUUGUUACUUCUAAAUUAUUCAGAGUUGGCAUAUGCUGAAAGAAACACUUUGAGAAGAAGACAAAUUACACUCUCGUUACUAACCAUGACAUUUCGUUGGAAGAGAUUUUGUUCUCGGUGAUUGGGCAUAGUGAUUUUGAUGCAUCGCCUGAUCUCAUUCUCACACAGGAUAUCAAUGGGGUGAAUGCCGGUACUCAACCUAUUGAUGCACAUGGACAUGAUGACUCUCUAGCGUUUAUGGACCAACCAACCUGUAAUCAUGGACCUUAUUGUCUUGUAGACCAUUUGGUGUUUCGAGUGUUUUGGAGCUUGCACUUUGUGCAUGUAGAUACAAACUUGUGUGUUCUGGACCAUUUGAAGUCUCUCAUAGUAACCAAUAGUCCUUAUCUUUU